GACGAACGCUGGCGGCGUGCUUAACACAUGCAAGUCGAACGGAAAGGCCCUGCGCUUGUGGGGUGCUCGAGUGGCGAACGGGUGAGUAACACGUGAGUAACCUGCCCUUGACUUUGGGAUAACUUCAGGAAACUGGGGCUAAUAUCGGAUAGGAGCUCCUGCUGCAUGGUGGGGGUUGGAAAGUUUCGGCGGUUGGGGAUGGACUCGCGGCUUAUCAGCUUGUUGGUGGGGUAGUGGCUUACCAAGGCUUUGACGGGUAGCCGGCCUGAGAGGGUGACCGGCCACAUUGGGACUGAGAUACGGACCAGACUCCUACGGGAGGCAGCAGUGGGGAGUAUUGCACAAUGGGCGGAAGCCUGAUGCAGCAACGCCGCGUGCGGGAUGACGGCCUUCGAGUUAUAAACCGCUUUCGCCUGUGACGAAGCGUGAGUGACGGUAAUGGGUAAAGAAGCACCGGCUAACUACGUG
rnacentral:rRNA from 1 species